rnacentral:rRNA from 1 species
GGAAUAUUGCACAAUGGGCGAAAGCCUGAUGCAGCGACGCCGCGUGAGGGAUGACGGCCUUCGGGUUGUAAACCUCUUUCAGUAGGGAAGAAGCGAAAGUGACGGUACCUGCAGAAGAAGCGCCGGCUAACUACGUGCCAGCAGCCGCGGUAAUACGUAGGGCGCAAGCGUUAUCCGGAAUUAUUGGGCGUAAAGAGCUCGUAGGCGGUUUGUCGCGUCUAUCGUGAAAGUCCGAGGCUCAACCUCGGAUCUGCGGUGGGUACGGGCAGACUAGAGUGAUGUAGGGGAGACUGGAAUUCCUGGUGUAGCGGUGAAAUGCGCAGAUAUCAGGAGGAACACCGAUGGCGAAGGCAGGUCUCUGGGCAUUAACUGACGCUGAGGAGCGAAAGCAUGGGGAGCGAACAGGAUUAGAUACCCUGG